GGGCGUGACCUUAUGCGCGCUCUCUGUCAGAGGGGUCAUAUCUCCAUGGCCCAGUGGCUCGCUCUGGGAAAGCCAAAAAAAUCAGAAAAAUAUGUAAGAAGCCUUUUGUCUGGUCUUCACACCACGAAACAGAAGACUUGCCCCGCCUGGCUGCGUCAUUUAUACAAACGUCGAGGAUCAAGAAAAGGAAGAAAAGGGAAACACAAGUUGGCCAGGAAACAGAGAAACGAUCUGUGAAAAAACAAUUUGGAGCAGGACCGUCUACCACAAAGAAACCAAGGAAUCAACGAUCGAUUCAUGAUUAGUAGUAUAAAAUUAAAGACGAAAGUGCGGACUGAGAGGGUGUAAAGUUAAAUAAGGCAACAUAGAAAGAUAAAACAUGGACCUUUGUGUAACAAUAGAGGAAAACUAUGGAACAAAGCUAUCUAUUAGGCUCUUAAGUACAAUAUUGUACGUACAAAAACAAGGCAAGGAAGAGAAAAUAAAGUUAGUCACAAAACAGUGAGCUAAGCAAGGAUAUUGUUACAAGACAAGAUUAUUCGUGAGAAGAGAGACAUUCUCUACAUCAAAAGCCUCUUUAAAGGGUAAACAUGAUUGAGAUGUGGGGUUCUUGGGUUAAAAGCUUUUAAUGACGAGUACUGAUUAAGCAAUCAUGAU